GCAUCAAUGGGGCAGCGGUAACCUGGGUCGCUGCCAUGAAUAUUGCACCUGAGCAUACUCGACCCGCCGGGGAUUCGAUUCCCCCUUGAUGCA